rnacentral:rRNA from 1 species
AGGGUUCGAUUCUGGCUCAGGAUGAACGCUGGCGGCGUGCUUAACACAUGCAAGUCGAACGGAGUUUUUAAACGGAAGUUUUCGGAUGGAAGUUUAGAAACUUAGUGGCGGACGGGUGAGUAACGCGUGGGUAACCUGCCUCAUACAGGGGGAUAACAGUUAGAAAUGACUGCUAACACCGCAUAAUAUAGCGAAACCGCAUGAUUUUGCUAUCAAAUAUUUAUAGGUAUGAGAUGGGCCCGCGUCUGAUUAGCUAGUUGGUGGGGUAAAGGCCUACCAAGGCGACGAUCAGUAGCCGGCUUGAGAGAGUGACCGGCCACAUUGGGACUGAGACACGGCCCAAACUCCUACGGGAGGCAGCAGUGGGGAAUAUUGGACAAUGGGGGAAACCCUGAUCCAGCGAACCGCCGCGUGAGUGAAGAAGUAUUUCGGUAUGUAAAGCUCUAUCAGCAGGGAAGAUAAUGACAGUACCUGACUAAGAAGCCCCGGCUAACUACGUGCCAGCCGCUGC